rnacentral:rRNA from 1 species
AGUGAACGCUGGCGGUAGGCCUAACACAUGCAAGUCGAACGGCAGCACAGUAAGAGCUUGCUCUUACGGGUGGCGAGUGGCGGACGGGUGAGGAAUACAUCGGAAUCUACUUUUUCGUGGGGGAUAACGUAGGGAAACUUACGCUAAUACCGCAUACGACCUACGGGUGAAAGCAGUGGAUCUUCGGACCUUGCGCGAUAGAAUGAGCCGAUGUCGGAUUAGCUAGUUGGCGGGGUAAAGGCCCACCAAGGCGACGAUCCGUAGCUGGUCUGAGAGGAUGAUCAGCCACACUGGAACUGAGACACGGUCCAGACUCCUACGGGAGGCAGCAGUGGGGAAUAUUGGACAAUGGGCGCAAGCCUGAUCCAGCCAUACCGCGUGAGUGAAGAAGGCCUUCGGGUUGUAAAGCCCUUUUGUUGGGAAAGAAAAGCAGCAGGUUAAUACCCCGCUGUUCUGACGGUACCCAAAGAAUAAGCACCGGCUAACUUCGUG